AGUCUCCAGCAGAAGCCCCCAAAGCAAAGGCUAGGUCCUUCCAACUUACCGCAGCUGAAGCGAAAACAGAACCCGAUGUGGUUUCAGGAAAGGACGCAGGAGCGUCAAGCGGGCAAGCGAGUGGCGAACCACGUUUGAAGGGCCUACUUUGAAGUUCUAGGUACUCACGGAUUACGGAUGACGGUCAAGCAAACUUUGAAGAACCGAACACUACAUUUAGAAGCUUCCGCGAUGUUUUAAAUCUUUAGUAGACUUUGUGUAUGGGUUGUAAACACUUGUUAAACUACUUUUGAAAUGUUUUAACCUAGUCAUUAGUUGACUAAGGUUAACGUACUUUUGAA